rnacentral:lncRNA from 1 species
UCCCCUCCCGGGGUUCACAGACUCUUAACCCCGCCUUCGUUCAAGAGCCCUUUCUGAAGAUGCCUCAUUCUGACUGUGGCCCCUUUUCAGAGCCUGCCAUUUGAAGCAAGGUUGAAUGCCUCCAUGGGCCCUGGACGAACCGUUGUCGUUAAAGGAGAAGUGAAUACAAAUGCCAAAAGCUUUAAUGUUGACCUAGUGGCAGGAAGGUCAAGGGAUAUCGCUCUGCACUUGAACCCACGCCUGAAUGUGAAAGCGUUUGUAAGAAACUCCUUUCUUCAGGAUGCCUGGGGAGAAGAGGAGAGAAACAUUACCUGCUUCCCAUUUAGUUCUGGGAUGUACUUUGAGAUGAUAAUUUACUGUGAUGUCCGAGAGUUCAAGGUUGCAGUAAAUGGUGUGCACAGCCUGGAGUACAAGCACAGAUUUAAAGACCUAAGCAGCAUCGACACACUAGCAGUUGAUGGCGAUAUCCGUUUGCUGGAUGUAAGGAGCUGGUAGCUAUCAUGACUGCCAGAACCCUGGAAAUACAAAAUGGCUUAUCCGAUACUGGCCAUGUCAAAUGCAUCUCGCUUUCACCACAUUGUUAUACUGUUAAGUUGAGCUCGCACAACAUCAAGUCCUACUGGUGUUGUCAGGCCUGGCCAUGCAGUGUGGCUACCUCUGAAUUCCCAGGAACAGAUGGGGCAGUCACAGCUCACUGCGAGCGAGGCUCUGCACACCGGGUCCCUCUUAUAAAACUGCACUCAACAAAUAUCUAAGUGCCUAAUAUACUACAUAUGCUAGCUGACAGGGAUGGCAAGCGUACUUCCUCUGUACAUUCUCUGAGCUGGCCAGACAUGGCAGUGCCCACAACUUGUGUGGUGCCUGUUUUCUGGCACUCACAUGUCAUGCGACCAGUUUCUGAUGUAGGGUCUUCCUGCUAGCAUUGCAUUUACCCCACUAGGGGCCUUUGCAGUUAAGAUCAGAAAAAUAUACUAAUGGAUGGAAAACACUACUUCCCCAGUAAUCCUGUCAUAAUCAACAUUCUAUCAUAUCUCAUAACUGAAGACUGCAUAACAUUUAUUUAGCUCUCACUGCUUUAAACUUUAUAAAAUAUAUGAUGCUGAACACAGCAAAAAAACUGAGGCCAAAACGCUGAAUUAUGACAAAACAAGUGUUCUGCUCCAGGCAGAUUUCUGCUGGUUGAUUGGCAGAUUAAGUCCAGGGUGUUUGUGGGUGCCUGUGGCAAAGCGCGGUAGAAGUUUAUAGUUUGAAAAACCCUCUUGGGUAACUAACAUCAAGGUAUACAGUGAGUAUAUAAAACAGGCACUGUCAGAGCAAAACCGAUCCAGGAGGGCAGUGUGAAAAGGUUGAGCUGGUGUGGAGACCAGCCCUCGUGCCUUUGGGUCUGAAGAUGUCGGCACAUCAUCAGUGAGGUCAAGCACUGCUCUGCCUGCUAAGUCGACUUGUAUCAGCAGAUACAGCUUCUGUACUCCUGUAACCUCCAGGAUUUGACUGGAGCCCUAGGUAGUCUUUCUUCACUGGUUGUCACAGAUGUCAAAGGUUUGGCUGUUGGGAGGGGGAAGUGUUACUUUCAUCAGGUCAUUGUAUGAUAUUAAACCACAGGAUAGCAUUUUGCCAGGGUUUAGGAGUAUUCAGUCAACUUGCCCAGAUACACGUAUCAUACAUAGGAAAUAACAGCAUCAGCAAUCUUACUUUUUAGGAAGUACUCAAGGCAGCAACUGCUAGUCCUUCAUUUUCAUGCAAAUUUAUUAUGUUUACUCUAAAAAAUUCAUAUGGGGUGGUGGAUGGAACUGGGCAAUUCGUAGGGAGCCCAGGAGGCUCUAGAAUCCCCCAGUUACUUCCUUCAUGCAUUACUGAGAUGUUGGGGGUUGAAAGGCCCUCAGUUAAAAAUAAAAGCCCAUUCAUACAAAAGUGUAUUUUCAUUUCUAUUUUUAUACAAAGCCAUUAAGACUUAUUUUGAAUAGAUUCAGUUUUAGUUCUUAGAUUCUGGUCUUUUUAAAAAGCUACUGGAAUUUAUUAGGUUCAGAGACAUUUUGUUGUACAUUGCUAAGUUCUAUCUCUAAACUAUAAAAUGUCCUUUUGCUUGCCUAAUUCUGCAUUAAAGUUUUAUAUUAUAUUUAG